AGUGAGCCAGGCCCUUCCACAUCAACCAUCAGCCAAGAAAAUGCCCCAUAAACUUGCGCACACACAGGUCAGACUGCUGGGGUGUUUUUCCUCAAUGGAAAUUCCCUCUUCCAAAAUGACUCUUUCUGGUGUCAGGUUUGCACAAAACCAGCCAGCACAGCUACUGAUCUUUAAGAUGACUCCUACUUCUCUACAUUUUUUUUUUUUUUUGAUCCUCCUAACUGUAUUAGGUAUGUUGCUAUCAAACCAACUUUGCUGGGAUCCCAAAUUCUAGUACUGUAUUCUUCUCAACCAAUGGAAUUAUUUCUCCUUUUCUUAGGAAUAAUUCCAUUCUUUUUUAGACAUGGUUUCACAUUGUAGCUCAGAAUAGCCUAGAACUAUGUAGCCUAGCCAUGGUAACCCUCCUUCAUCCUCCUGAGUACUGGAACUACAGACAUGAGACUUUGUACAGAUCUUAACCCCAUUUCUUUAAAAAAAUAUAUUAUUUAUGCAUAUGAGUCUUUUGUCUGUGCAGCAAAUGCUUCCUGGUGCCCAUGGAGGCUAGAAGAGGGAAGAUGUCCUGGGACUCGAGUUACAGAUGGUUGGGAGCCACCAUCUCAGCUCCUCUGCAAGAGCAAUUUGUGGUUUUAAUGACUGAGCCAUUUCCCCAGGCCCUCAACUUUUUUCUUCUUUACCUUUCUGCUAGUUGGCAGGUGAUAGGGGGAAGGAGGACAUCAACCAAGACCAUAUUCUUUGGAGAUUUCUGGGUACUUUUCAUGGUCCCCAACAUUUCACCAGUCUUCCAGUCCCACUCCUACGCCACUGUGGAUGUAAGCUUCUUCGUAGGGUCAAGCUUCAUUGUGAUUUUUUUUCCCUAGAGCUGAGGACUGAACCCAGGGCCUUGAGCUUGCUAGGCAAGCGCUCUACCACUGAGCUUAAUCCCCAACCCCCGUUGUGGUUUUUUGUUGUUGUUGUUGUUUAUUUUUUGAGUCACAGUCUCAUGUAGCUCAGGCUGGCUUAAACCAUGGUUUAAGUGAAGAUGACCUUGAACUCCUGAUCUUCCUGUCUCCAAAGUUCUGGGGUUACAGGUGUGCACCACUAAGCCUGGUUCUUCAUUGGUUUUGCAUACCACAUUUCUGUAUGUUUAACACAGGGGGUCACAAUCUAUGGUGUAUUAACAUUUUGGACAGAAAAAUUAAGGCAGAGUGUCCAUAUGUUUUAAGCUGUUCAGUAGAGCUUUUGGCUGUCCCCAACAGAUGCCAGCAGCAUUUUCCCUUUAGUUAUGACAACCAAAAAUGCCUUUAAACAUUGCAAUAUAUCCCCUGGAGAGCAAAAAUCUCCUGUUGCAAUAUCUUGGCUUUGUAAAUAAACUCAUGUGAAUUUAUUUCCAAGAAAGUCUUUGGCUCAAGGCACAAACUACUUGAUUUUGGAAUUUUUCAGGGUAUAAUUUGUUAAAACUCUUAAAAAUGUACAAUCUACAUUAAAAUCCACAAUCCAUGCUUAGGUUAUGCCUGCUUCAGUGCGACACCCUUGCCAUAGCAAAGCCCAUUGGGUUUCUUACUAAAGAGUUCUUUGUCUAGCUCUCUGUUCUUUGUGUACCUGUUGUCUUAAGCAGUCAAUUGCCACUUAGGAUUGACAGUCCCAGAAAUGAUUUUCCUGUGAUCCCAGCUGGUCAGGAACAUCCUCACAGGGUCUCCUUUUGAGGCUUUCUUCCUUUUCCUGUUUAUCCCUAGGGCAAAGACUGAUGUGUUUGGAGUGGCACUGAGGAGGUCUUCUCCCGUUGGCUUCUAUCUAAAGGUAACUGAGCCUAGAGCUCCAUCUGGCUUUGCUUUCAGAGAUGGGAAUUGAAAAUGUGAAGAUCUCUAAGAAUCAGAAUGUAAUCUUUUUCUAGUGAAUGGUAAAACAGCAAAGACUGGACCUCUAUCUGCUCAAGAUAAGCCCAGAUAGAUAUUCAGAACUUGUCAUGAAGUGGAAGAUGUCUGGGGGAAAAACUGGAUGAAGUCAUAAGAAACUUCAAUCAACUGAAAACUUUGAAACUGUAGGCCAUUCAGCUUAUUUACCAAAGAGUGACAAUCAUGAAUAUCCUUGGUCACAGAAACAACCAGAAGUAUACCUGGGAGGUAAUGUCAGGCUGGUUGAUGCUGCCAGUAUUUUGAAAUCUGGACUACUGGAGCUAGUAUAUAGAUGCAUCAGUGGUUAAGAGCACUCGAUGCUCUUCCAGAGAACCUGAUUUCAGUUUCCAGCACCUACAUCAGGUGGCUCACAACCAUCUGUAGGUAAUUCUGGCUUCCACAGGCACCUGCACUCAGAUGCACAUAUCCAUACACAGAUACAUAAUUGAAAGCAACACCUUUAAACAAUAAUAUUAAUAAUAAUAAAAAAACUCCCACAACACUAUGCUACCAAAUUCCCUUGUCCCAGGUUUUUACUUCCAAACUCAGGCUUCUGAUGGAAUGUUGAUGGUAAAAAUAGGAAUAAUUAGAGACAAAACACACUCCUUUCCCUAUUUAAGCAUGCUAAUUCACAAAGAUAAAAUACUCCAUUAAAUAGAUGGUACCUGGCACUAAGACAGCCUAAAAAUAUGUUGCAGGAAGUCUUCAAGUACUGUGUUUCUAGACUAGUAGGCAGACAGGAUAAAACAGAGCACAUGAGGCACACGAUACAGCAGAGGCUAUAUAGUGCCUGGACCUGGGGUUAUGUAGUAAUCAGUGUGCACCAGUGUCUUUAAGCAGUCUCUCUCCUUCCUUUUUUUUUUUUUAUUAUUUUUUUAAGAGUAUAUUGCAGUGUCAGCAGAGGAUGUUGGCUCACUAGAAGCUGGAGUAAGAUACUGGUGAGCUAACAUAUGGGUGGGUGUUGGGAAUUGAACUUGGGUCAUCUUUGAGACAGAACAGGCAACUGGACUCAUAUUCUAGUAUGAUUUAAAAGAUAAAUCUCUACCUGACCCUUUUCUUUUCCUUCUUUCCUAUGGCUGGAUAUGACAGACUCCAGGUAACACAGUGGAAUUGGGUGACCUAGAUCCAUACUUUAGGUUUUUGUUUUGUUUUUUAAAAUCUGAAUCUCACAGUCUUCUCCUCCUCAAGGUUGUGGUUCAGAGGUGUGCUCCUUAUACAUAGCCAGCUGUGGGUCAAGGCGUGGUGUUCGGGGAGAGACAAGGUAUUUGUUAGCAGUGUCUCAGUGUAAAACAAGACUCUCAGGGUGAUGGUCACUCCAACACACCUGCUGGUAACUGCAUCAGCUUUUCACAUCUUCAUCCUACGGCAGGUAUCCUUGUUAUUUUUUGCCCACAUAUCUCUCAUCUCUGAAUUCAUAGUUCACAGAAUUAAGUGGUAUUCUCAGGACACAGAUCAGUUUUAAGAAUACUUUAUUUUUUGAGAUUACAUAGUCAUUAUUGCUGAUCUAAUACAAUCACUUAGACAUAGAGAUUUCCAAGAGCUUCUCAGAACUGGUGAUCCUUAGAGGCUUUGUUCCUUUCAGUAAGAUGACAGUAAGAACUAGAUGAUUAUUUGUAUAGAUAUGGAUGUGUUUUACAUAUAUAAGUAUAUAUAUGUUUAGACUUGUCAAUGUCAAUAUAUAAUUUGCUGGUGUUACCUAUUUUCUUUCCAUAAUUUUCCUUUAUUAAAAAAGCUUAAUGC
rnacentral:lncRNA from 1 species